ACAGGAUGUAUAAUAUAUGCAUAUACAUACAUAUAGAUAGAUAGAUAGAUAGAUAUAGAGAUGAUGAGAGAGAGAGAGAGAGAUACUACUAAUGGAUAACAAUAUAAAUCAAGGCAUGCACGGGGGCGCUCCCUGUGUGCACUACUUUGAGCUGAUCAUGUAUAACAUUUAAGACUGUUUCAUAAAUACACCUCUUCAAAUCUGCAUGGACACAGACGUGCACGGACAUGGAAUAUCCAACUAGUGAAUAGUCUACCUCUUGCCUUUUAAAUAAAAUGAAAUUUGAACCACUCCAUGUAUGCAAAUAUCUCAUAUCCCGCCUAUAAAAGAGAAUAAAAAAUAUAAAAAGAACAAAAAUAGACCCAAGAAAUCAGGAGGAAAAAGAACAGUUCAUUAUAAAUGGGGUGCAACUCAAUUCUCCUUCUCUAAAUGAGAAUUUAGUUACCAAACUCCACUAAGACUUAACCAUUUAAUGACUCAGUUAAUUAUAGUUCCUGUGUGAAACGUUCGAUUAAAAAUGAACUUCUAAAUCAGGUGAUAAUUAUUUUCUCACUGGUUGUCCAACACUAAUUCUAAGCACUCGAAGAGAGACAGAAAGGAAAAUUCUAGUUUUAUCUUGCUGAACAUCGGCAAGCUGUAAAACCUGUAGUAGUAUACAUACAUAUAUACUUCCAUAUGAAAUGGAUAUAAUUAUGGUAUAACUGGACUGGCGCAGCAGAGAAUACAGUGUGUAUUAGUCAUUAUUACUUACAAGGUAAAUGCAGCCAGAUUGCUCCCCAGUAAGAUUGCUUUUGUACGUCGAAAAUCCUGAUUAACACUGUCCAACUUGGCACAAAUUCAGAAUCAGAGGCAGUCUACAAUAUGGCAUAAAAGAGUAAAUGAGGUCGUAGGCCAUGUACUGAAUGGCCUAAAGGCCUAUAUAAAGGGAUCUCUUAUUGUUCUUUCAGAAUUACAGAAGAAAAGUUAUUUUCGGUAUGUCAUGUGUGAUUCUAACAGCAACAGAAAGAAUUUCCAUCGUACACUUGUAAAAUUCACGAUCCAAAAAUAAGUUUUGCAAUAUCAGCAGUAAUUUUUCUUUCUUUUUUUUGGAGAAACAUGCAUCAUACAAUAAUGAACCCAAAUCUGGUAGAUCGUGAGGCCUACCUUCAUAAAUCAAGCCAUGUAGCAAAAAUAAAUUCUAUCAGUCACAAUUUCCAACCUGAAUAAUCAAAAACUCGAAUUCUAUCAUAUCCAUGGUAUAAAUAUUUAUUUACAAAAAGAAAAAGAAAAAGAAAAAGAAAAAGAAACCAUAUUCAUCAAGUAGCACCAAGUAUGCUUGUCUUAGUGCUGAACUAUGUGACUCAUCGCGUGAUUUCCAACAAUUCAGCUACAUUAGUAAAUCUAUAUACUAUAAUAAGGAACUUUUGAGAGCUUUAGGACUAUAAGUUCAAAACUGAAAGGUGGGAAUUAGCAAUUGAAGAACUAGGAUCAAGGACCAUCUUAUUAUCUGAAAAAGGGGUCCACCACGAAGCGCUUACAAAUUGAUCAGAGUUAACUUAUUGCAAUCCAUGUACAAGGAGUCUACAAAUUAACUAAAAUAAAGCAACUGCGACAUGAUUACAGAACUGCAACUAUUGGUCAAGGGACACAACACAACCAUACCAAUGGAAAAUGACCAUGAUGUUGAAAGUGAUGAAAAAUCUCAUCUGCUCCCUGUAAAUCACCCCCUUCAAAUCAUCUAAUGAGAAGCUCCGGCAAAGGAACUCAAUGAACUGAUCACAGAUUCGUAAACCUUGAUUCCUUUCAGGUAUAUGGUGUCCUUAAGGAACUGUAGAACAUAGUUAAGUAAGAAAAGAACCAANN
rnacentral:lncRNA from 1 species